rnacentral:tRNA from 1 species
GGCUACGUAGCUCAGUUGGUUAGAGCACAUCACUCAUAAUGAUGGGCUCACAGGUUCGAAUCCCGUCGUAGCCACCA